rnacentral:misc_RNA from 1 species
GAUGAAGAACGUAGCGAAAUGCGAUACUUGGUGUGAAUUGCAGAAUCCCGUGAACCAUCGAGUCUUUGAACGCAAGUUGCGCCCGAAGCCAUUAGGCCGAGGGCACGCCUGCCUGGGCGUCACACGUCGUUGCCCCCCCAUCUACUCCUUCGGGAUUGCGGGGGGCGGAUGAUGGCCUCCCGUGCGCCUCGUCGCGCGGUUGGCCUAAAUGCCAAGUCCUCGGCGACGCACGCCACGACAAUCGGUGGUCGCGAAACCUCGGUUGCCUGUCGUGUGCGGUCGUCGCGCAUCGAGGGCUCGAAAAAAUUGCCGGGCUUCGGCUCGACUUUCAACGCGACCCCAGGUCAGGCGGGGUUACCCGCUGAAUUUAAGCAUAUCAAUAAGCGGAGGA